AUACGGAGGGGGCUAGCGUUGUUCGGAAUUACUGGGCGUAAAGCGUACGUAGGCGGACUGAUCAGUUGGGGGUGAAAUCCCAGGGCUUAACCCUGGAACUGCCUUCAAUACUGUCAGUCUUGAGUUUGGGAGAGGUGAGUGGGAUUCCUAGUGUAGAGGUGAAAUUCAUAGAUAUUAGGAGGAACACCAGUGGCGAAGGCGGCUCACUGGCCCAUUACUGACGCUGAGGUACGAAAGCGUGGGGAGCAAACAGGAUUAGAAACCCCAGUAGUCC
rnacentral:rRNA from 1 species